UUCUUCCUCAUCUUCCUCAACAUAGCCAGUGAUGCUCCCGUGGCCCCAGAGGAAGGCACACAAAUGCAAGCUUUUAUCCAGCCCAGUGUGACUGUGGCGCUGAUAUGCAGUUUUCUGCUGGGUCUGGGUGAUAGUUGUUUCAACACUCAGCUCAUCAGCAUUGUGGGCUUCUUGUUCCGGGAGGACAGUGCUUCAGCAUUCGCAGUCUUUAAAUUUGUUCAGUCCAUCACAGCUGCGGUGGCCUUCUUCUACAGCAAC